rnacentral:lncRNA from 10 species
CACAGAUGUAACCAGGUUCCUGUGGAGGACACGGCUUUGCUAAGCCUGCCUGGCUUCUGUGUCCUCCUCUGGGCCUGAGUGCAGAGGGUGAGAGUCCACAUCCCCAGAACCAUGGGGACUGAACAGGAUUACUACAGAGCAGCAAAGAAGUGGGGCACCAAAGGAAAGAGUACACAACACCUUGUGAACACAGAAUUCUGGUGGACCCAGAAUAUGUGGGAGUUCAGUGAGACUUAAAGAGGAAAAGACCUACGUGUGAACUAAUGCAAGCAGCUAAUGCCAAGCCUAACAUGCUCCAUAUGUGUUAGAAGUUUUAAGAUUUGACCUUCGAGAGCUGAGGGCAGGCCUCUGUC